rnacentral:rRNA from 1 species
UACGAAGGGGGCGAGCGUUAUUCGGAAUCACUGGGCGUAAAGCGUGCGUAGGCUGUUUUGUAAGUUGGGAGUGAAAGCCCAGGGCUCAACCCUGGAAUUGCUCUCAAAACUACAAGUACUCGGAUUGGGAGAGGAUAGCGGAAUUGUCAGUGUAGCAGUGAAAUGCGUAGAUAUUGACAGGAACACCAGUGGCGCAAGCGGCUAUCUGGACCAACAUCGACGCUGAGGCACGAAAGCGUGGGGAUCAAACAGG